AUUAUUAGUUAGAAUUUAAUUUUUUAAUUAAAAAGUUAAAAUAAAUUAAAAAGACGAGAAGACCCUAUAGAGUUUUAUAAAUAAUAAAAUUGAGAUUAUUUUUAAAUUUAAAAUUUAAAUUAUUAUUAAUUAUUUCAUUGGGGGGAUGGGAAAAUAUAAAUAACUUUUUUUUUAUUUUAACAUAAAUAAGUGAAUUAAUGAUCCAAUAUUAUUGAUUAUAAGAAAAAAUUACCUUAGGGAUAACAGCGUAAUUUUUUUUUUUAGUUC
rnacentral:rRNA from 1 species